CCUACGGGCGGCAGCAGUGGGGGAUAUUGCACAAUGGGGGAAACCCUGAUGCAGCGACGCCGCGUGAGUGAAGAAGUAUUUCGGUAUGUAAAGCUCUAUCAGCAGGGAAGAAAUAAAGUCCUUCGGACUUUGGACGGUACCUGACUAAGAAGCCCCGGUUAACUACCUGCCAGCAGCCGCGGGAAUACGUAGGGGGCAAGCGUUAUUCGGAUUUACUGGGUGGAAAGGGAGCGUAGACGGCAGCGCAAGUAUGGAGGGAAAUCCCAUGGCUUAACCAUGGAACUGCUUUGGAAACUGUGCAGCUUGAGUGCAGGAGAGGUAAGCGGAAUUCCUAGUGUAGCGGUGAAAUGCGUAGAUAUUAGGAGGAACACCAGUGGCGAAGGCGGCUUACUGGACUGUAACUGACGUUGAGGCUCGAAAGCGUGGGGAGCAAACAGGAUUAGAUACCCGAGUAGUC
rnacentral:rRNA from 1 species